GUGAAGUGUCCAGAUAUCAGCGCUCACCUGGCUGGUACCAAGAAGGUUCAGCAAGUGCUCCCCAGACCUGGAGUCCUGGACAGAUUCUUCCCAGACCAGCCUCAAGCUGUGCAGCAGAUCCGAGCGACAUUGGCUGACCUCUACACUCUAGACAUGGGUCCAGAGAGGGACAAAACAGUAUCAGUGGCCUUGUCAGCAGCAGAACGGUUUGUCUUGGAGUCUCAGCGAGAAGGAGGAGGCAGGGUAAAGACAUGGUGAUGAAUGAGUGUGUGGACCGUCUGCUGAGGACCAAGAGCUCAGGACAGUCAGACGGGGGCGUCGCAGCAGGAGUCACCAUGCUCCACAAUCCUCUGCUGUUCUGAGAUGUCACACUCCUGCCUGCACAUACAAACCACACUGAAGUCAAAGUUCCACCUGCGCCUCAACCUGUUCUUGCAAAAGCAUGAAAACUGACAGAGGGUGAAGAGCAGUUAGCAGUGCAUUCACGGACAUCUUUAAACUAUUAAACGAAGAAUCUUUGGUCAUGAUGUCAUGAACUAGAAACGUGAGCUCCAGAUGUCUCUCAGACCAAGAUUGAAUGUGAUGACAAGGGUGAUGGAUGGUGUGACAUGUGCUGCUGGCCCACAGAACCAGUUGCAGCCACCAAGUUGAACACCAUCACCAAAUCCAACCUGGGUCAGUGUGUCAGCAAGUACGACCUGCUGGUCUGGUUUGAGAUC